UACGUAGGGGGCGAGCGUUUGUCCGGAAUUACUGGGCGUAAAGCGUGCGCAGGCGGUUCGUUAUGUCCGAUGUGAAAGCCCCGAGCUCAACUUGGGAAUGGCAUUGGAAACUGGCGGGCUGGAGUGUGGCAGAGGGGGGUGGAAUUCCACGUGUAGCAGUGAAAUGCGUAGAGAUGUGGAGGAACACUCAUGGCGAAGGCAGCCCCUGGGU
rnacentral:rRNA from 1 species